GACGAACGCUGGCGGCGUGCUUAACACAUGCAAGUCGAACGGUGAAGGGACCGGUUUUUGCUGGUUCUGGAUGAGUGGCGAACGGGUGAGUAACACGUGAGUAACCUGCCCCCUUCUUCUGGAUAACCGCAUGAAAGUGUGGCUAAUACGGGAUAUUCUGCGCCUGCUGCAUGGUGGGUGUGGGAAAGAUAUUGUUUCGGUGGGGGAUGGGCUCGCAGCCUAUCAGCGUGUUGGUGGGGUGAUGGCCUACCAAGGCGGUGACGGGUAGCCGGCCUGAGAGGGUGGACGGUCACACUGGGACUGAGACACGGCCCAGACUCCUACGGGAGGCAGCAGUGGGGAAUAUUGCACAAUGGGCGCAAGCCUGAUGCAGCGACGCCGCGUGAGGGAUGGAGGCCUUCGGGUUGUAAACCUCUUUCGCCAGUGAAGCAGGCCUGUCCCUUUUGUGGGUGGGUUGACGGUAGCUGGAUAAGAAGCGCCGGCUAACUACGUG
rnacentral:rRNA from 1 species